CGCAAUAAAGGUGUCAAAAAUCUUUUUAGGUUUAAUUAUGGUCUAGGAAAGUUUAAGAUUGUAUUAUCUAAUGUUGAUUUAUUAUAUAGGCAAUAAAUUUUUACCUUGUUUUCUAUUAUUUGUAUAAAUUUUGUUCCAGAAUAAUCGGCUAUUCAAAAAAAGUUUAUUCUUUAAUUGUGGGUUUUGUAUUUCUUUAUGAAAAUUAUUAAAAAAUAAUUGGUAAAAUAUUUAUUGAAUUGAAAAAAUUUAUUUGCAAAAAAAAGUUUAAUAAAAAAAUUAGAUUAGUACCUAAGUAUUUAAAUUAAAAAAGUUCAGGAGUAAAGUAAUAUUUAAACUGAAUUAAUUUUGGCAGAUUAGAUAAUUUUUCUUUGGAGGUUGAAACGUAAUCGAGAACCCUCGUUAUUUACUUAUUCUAUAGGUGUUUGUAUGAUCGUUUAUAUUAAUUUUAAGAGUUAAUAUUGGUUUUUAGCGAAUAAAAAAUAGAUAUAUAUGUAAUUUAUGAAUAAGAUUGUAUUUUGACCUACAAUUAUUUGUUUAUUGGAAAAAAAUGAGUGAUUGUUUUUGGAAAGUGUAAAAGAAAGUAAAAUAAUUUUUAUGUUUGUUUGAAUAUUUUUUUUCUAUGGUACAAAUCAUCCAUCAAUUGCCUAAAUGGGAGUAAGUUGUAGUAAAGUGGAUUUAUGGGAACUUGAAUCUAAGAAUAA
rnacentral:ncRNA from 1 species